AGCAGCCGCGGUAAUUCCAGCUCCAAUAGCGUAUAUUAAAGUUGUUGCAGUUAAAAAGCUCGUAGUUGAAUUUCGGGAUCAUCAGGUUGGUCGUGCCUCCGGUAUGUACUUGCUUCGGUGGACCCUCCUUCUUGAAGAACCGUAAUGCCAUUAAUUUGGUGUUGCGGGGAAACAGGACUGUUACUUUGAAAAAAUUAGAGUGUUUAAAGCAGGCAAUCGCUUGAAUACAUUAGCAUGGAAUAAUGAAAUAGGACGUUCGAUCUUAUUUUGUUGGUUUCUAAGAUUGACGUAAUGAUUAAUAGGGAUAGUUGGGGGCAUUAGUAUUCAAUUGUCAGAGGUGAAAUUCUUGGAUUUAUUGAAGACUAACUACUGCGAAAGCAUUUGCCAAGGAUGUUUUCAUUAAUCAAGAACGAAAGUUAGGGGAUCGAAGACGAUCAGAUACCGUCGUAGUCUUAACCAUAAACUAUGCCGACUAGGGAUCGGAUGAUGUUAAUUUUUAAUGACUCAUUCGGCGCCUUAC
rnacentral:rRNA from 1 species